CUCAUAUAACACAGUGGAUUGGUUCCAGCAAAACUCUGGAAAACUGUGUUAUACAAGCAACUAGCAACUAUUAUAGGAACCUGAACUUAAGGGAACUGUGCAGGACAAGAGGAUUCACCUAUGCAGAUCAAAGGAUAACUGCACUUGAUGGACUGCUAGGGAAACUGCAUGGUACAUCACAGACCAAGGUUCCAAAUAAAGGACAGUCAUGGAAAAGUGAACUGGACCUUACUUGCCUCUCAUCUAAUGAUAGUGGCCUUCUGUGCAGUAACCUGCAAAACUGCAUCCUGAAGCAAGAUCUUUCUGGCACUAUUAUCCAGGAUGUUCUGAAGCUUUAUAGAUACCUAUUCUUUUAUAAAGAAAUUACUUGCCUUUUUUUUUUUUUGAGAUCGUCUGACACAGAAAUCUCUGCUUUGCUGCCUUGAAUGUCAGUCUGACACUAUCAAGAAGUAAUUAGAAAAUGGGCUUGUUUUCUCCAGCAUCACUCAGAUGACAUUGUUUAGGACUACAAAGAACUGAUAACUCUCUCCAUGCGUUCAUUUAAU
rnacentral:lncRNA from 1 species